AGAAACUCCAUUUUUUCUCUCUGCCAAUUUUUCAUUCCUUCUCUAUUCUUCAAUAGUUGAUGUAGUGUUUUUUUGAUUCUUGUGGGUUUUUUUAGUGCAGAAAGUUCCGUCACUUUACCGAUCAUCUGAUUCUCAGAAUUUCCUUACUAGUGCAUUAAAGGCCUUGGUUUGUCAUAAUUGGCCAAGAUGCAAAGGAACAGAAGCAUACUAGAUUCCUAUCCAGAAACUGUCGAUCUUAAUCAGGGAUCUACUUCAAGUAAUGCUUCUGGAGAUCCGACAUCCUCUUGGGAUAGCUUGCGAAAUUCAAUGGAGGGUCGAUUAUCCGAUUCCAUGCUUUCUUCUGCUAGAGGAAGUCUUAGACGUGCUGAUGGUAUUAGUUAUAACACACAGAACUGCAGUGCACGGGAUAAAGGCGAGUCGAGCUCCAGUGCCAAUUUGCAUGGCAUUGGACAUGCUUGGCCGUCUUCAUCAAGUGAUCAUGUGCUGACUAAUUCAAAUUCAGAAGAGAGGCGAUUUGGACCAUCCAAUGCCCUCCAUCCUGACAGUUCAACAAGUAUUUAUGGUGGAAAUCAUUUGAUUGGCAGCCCUACUAUCUUACCAAAUCUGGCCUCGGCUCACAGUCCUGCAAAUGCUAACUUAAGUGGCAUAUACAACAAUGGUGACACUCGGCUGGUUAUGAGACCAAGUGUAUCUUCAACUGUCUACACUUCAAGCAGCAGACGGGAAGCGGAGCGUCCUGCUUCUGGUGUCUCUUACAAUGCUGGUACUUCUUCAGGUGGUUUGCAUUCAGUUCCCCGGAAUGUAUCUCCUAAUUCACGAGGUGGUAGUUCAUCAAGUCUAAAUGUGGUUUCCCCUGAUAGUGAGGAUGAAGCUAACUUCUGGAGCUCAAUAAGAAAUAAUAGGGUACCUCUUCCAGUUGUUCCAGCUCCUGAGACUGGAAAUAUGGUACAGGAUUCAACUAAUUGGAGUUUAGCUACUUCAAAUGCAAGUUAUCCCAGAAACAUGCCUUCUAGUUCUGCACUCAGCCGUGGGCCAAGUAUGCAAACUUCUACUACUGCAAGGACACCUUAUCAGAACUUAGCAACCAGAAGUACUCGUAGUUCUUCAGAAAUUUCUCCUAGGACUCUCCUACCUCCUGUUGAGUCCGACUAUGGAAGUCAGAGAGGUAAUUUUCCCCUGCUAUCAUCAGCUGCUUCUCCCGUGGAGGAGGCAGAGAUAUCAUUGCGAUCUAGUAGCCAGGGAUCUAGUAGCCGACGUAAUCAUCGAAACCACCUAAUAUCAUCUUUAAUGACCAAUUUUCCAAGUAAUGAAGUGGGUGGAUCGCGUGGUUUAGCUUCUGAUAU
rnacentral:misc_RNA from 1 species